rnacentral:rRNA from 1 species
AUACGUAGGAUGCGAGCGCUAAUCGGAAUUACUGGGCGCAAAGGGUGCGUAGGCGGUUUUGUAAGUCAGAUGUGAAAUCCCCGGGCUUAACCUGGGAAUGGCGUUUGAAACUGCAAGGCUAGAGUGUAGCAGAGGGGAGUGGAAUUCCGCGUGUAGCAGUGAAAUGCGUAGAUAUGCGGAGGAACACCGAUGGCGAAGGCAGCUCCCUGGGCUAACACUGACGCUCAUGCACGAAAGCGUGGGGGGCAAACAGGAUUAGAUACCCUGGUAGUCCACGCCCUAAACGAUGUCAACUAGUUGUCGGGCCUAAUUGGGGGUUUGGUAACGUAGCUAACGCGUGAAGUUGACCGCCUGGGGAGUACGAUCGCAAGAUUAAA